rnacentral:tRNA from 1 species
UGGGCUAUCGCCAAGCGGUAAGGCACAGGACUUUGACUCCUGCAUUCGCAAGUUCGAAUCUUGCUAGCCCAG